rnacentral:rRNA from 1 species
GACGAACGCUGGCGGCGUGCUUAACACAUGCAAGUCGAACGAGGUCCAUCCGGUAGCAAUACCGGUGAAGACCGAGUGGCGAACGGGUGCGUAACACGUGAGCAACCUGCCCCGAAGACCGGGAUAACAGCGGGAAACCGCUGCUAAUACCGGAUAUCCCCACCGGAUCGCAUGAUCUGAUGAGGAAAUGCCUGAGUCUUAGAUUCAGACGCUUCGGGAGGGGCUCGCGGCCUAUCAGCUAGUUGGUGAGGUAACGGCCCACCAAGGCAUCGACGGGUAGCUGGUCUGAGAGGACGAUCAGCCACACUGGGACUGAGACACGGCCCAGACUCCUACGGGAGCAGCAGUGGGAAUCUUGCGCAAUGGGCGAAAGCCUGACGCAGCGACGCCGCGUGAGGGAUGACGGUCUUCGGAUUCGUAACCUCUUUCAAGCAGGGACGAUAAUGACGGUACCUGCAGAAGAAG